AACGAACGCUGGCGGCAUGCCUAACACAUGCAAGUCGAACGAGACCUCCGGGUCUAGUGGCGCACGGGUGCGUAACGCGUGGGAACCUGCCCUUAGGUUCGGAAUAACUCCCCGAAAGGGGUGCUAAUACCGGAUAAUGUCUUCUGACCAAAGAUUUAUCGUCCUUGGAUGGGCCCGCGUUGGAUUAGCCUGUUGGUAGUGUAAAAGCCUACCAAGGCGACGAUCCAUAGCUGGUCUGAGAGGAUGAGCAGCCACACUGAGAGUGAGACACGGCGCAGACUCCUGCGCGAAGGAGCAGUGGGUAAUAUUGGACUAUGGGCGAAAGCAUGAUCCCGCACGGGCUCGUGAGUGAUGAAGUCGGUAGGGUUGUAAAGCUCUUUUACCCGGGAUGAUAAUGACGGUACCGGAAGAAUAAGCUCCGGCUAACUCCGUG
rnacentral:rRNA from 1 species